rnacentral:rRNA from 1 species
AGGAUGAACGCUGGCGGCGUGCUUAACACAUGCAAGUCGAACGAUGAAGGCUGGAGCUUGCUCUGGCUGGAUUAGUGGCGAACGGGUGAGUAACACGUGAGUAACCUGCCCCAGACUCUGGGAUAAGCGCUGGAAACGGCGUCUAAUACCGGAUACGAGUCUUCCACCGCAUGGUGAGGAGCUGGAAAGAAUUUCGGUCUGGGAUGGACUCGCGGCCUAUCAGCUUGUUGGUGAGGUAAUGGCUCACCGAAGGCGACGACGGGUAGCCGGACCUGAGAGGGUGACCGGCCACACGUGGGACUGAGACGACCGGCCCAGACCGUCCCGUACGGGAGGCCGAGCGAGGUGGGGAAUUAGUGCAACAAGUGGGCGACGAAGCCGUGA